CCAGAUCACAGUAUUAAUAGCAGUACUAUAUUUGUAGAUCACAGUAUCAAUAGCAGUAUUAUCAUUCCAGAUCACAGUAUCAAUAGCAGUAUUAUCAUUGUAGAUCACAGUAUUAAUAGCAGUACUAUAUUUGUAGAUCACAGUUCAAUAGCAGUACUAUAUUUGUAGAUCACAGUAUCAAUAGCGUACUAUUAUUUUAGAUCGCAGUAUCAAUAGCAGUUAUUCCAUUCCAGUAUCACAGUAUUCAUUGUAGAUCCAGUAUUAAUAGCAGUACUAUAUUUGUAGAUCACAGUACCA
rnacentral:lncRNA from 1 species